UACGUAGGGGACAAGCGUUGUCCGGAAUCACUGGGCGUAAAGGGCGCGUAGGCGGUUUUAUAAGUCAGAUGUGAAAGGUACCGGCUCAACCGGUGACGUGCAUUUGAAACUGUAAGACUUGAGUACUGGAGAGGCAAGUGGAAUUCCUAGUGUAGCGGUGAAAUGCGUAGAUAUUAGGAGGAACACCGGUGGCGAAGGCGGCUUGCUGGACAGAUACUGACGCUGAGGUGCGAAAGCGUGGGGAGCGAACAGG
rnacentral:rRNA from 3 species